rnacentral:misc_RNA from 1 species
UCUCACUUGAGAACCGGGACUGGAAGGAGGCUGAGAGCAAAGGCCUGUUAUUAUCGAAGUUCUCGGCCUCCCUUGAGUCCUGGCUCUCGAGUUG